rnacentral:rRNA from 1 species
AUCGAAGCCCCAGUAAACGGCGGCCGUAACUAUAACGGUCCUAAGGUAGCGAAAUUCCUUGUCGGGUAAGUUCCGACCUGCACGAAUGGCGUAAUGAUGGCCAGGCUGUCUCCACCCGAGACUCAGUGAAAUUGAACUCGCUGUGAAGAUGCAGUGUACCCGCGGCAAGACGGAAAGACCCCGUGAACCUUUACUAUAGCUUGACACUGAACAUUGAGCCUUGAUGUGUAGGAUAGGUGGGAGGCUUUGAAGCGUGGACGCCAGUCUGCGUGGAGCCAUCCUUGAAAUACCACCCUUUAAUGUUUGAUGUUCUAACUCGGCCCCAUAAUCUGGGGUGAGGACAGUGUCUGGUGGGUAGUUUGACUGGGGCGGUCUCCUCCCAAAGAGUAACGGAGGAGCACGAAGGUUAGCUAAUCACGGUCGGACAUCGUGAGGUUAGUGCAAAGGCAUAAGCUAGCUUGACUGCGAGAGUGACGGCUCGAGCAGGUACGAAAGUAGGUCUUAGUGAUCCGGUGGUUCUGAAUGGAAGGGCCAUCGCUCAACGGAUAAAAGGUACUCCGGGGAUAACAGGCUGAUACCGCCCAAGAGUUCAUAUCGACGGCGGUGUUUGGCACCUCGAUGUCGGCUCAUCACAUCCUGGGGCUGAAGUAGGUCCCAAGGGUAUGGCUGUUCGCCAUUUAAAGUGGUACGCGAGCUGGGUUUAGAACGUCGUGAGACAGUUCGGUCCCUAUCUGCCGUGGGCGUUGGAAGAUUGAGAGGGGUUGCUCCUAGUACGAGAGGACCGGAGUGAACGCACCACUGGUGUUCGGGUUGUCAUGCCAAUGGCAUUGCCCGGUAGCUAAGUGCGGAAAAGAUAAGCGCUGAAAGCAUCUAAGCGCGAAACUUGCCUCAAGAUGAGUCUUCCCUGGGCCUU